rnacentral:rRNA from 1 species
GAUGAACGCUGGCGGCGUGCCUAAUACAUGCAAGUCGAGCGAACGGACGAGAAGCUUGCUUCUCUGACGUUAGCGGCGGACGGGUGAGUAACACGUGGAUAACCUACCUAUAAGACUGGGAUAACUUCGGGAAGCCGGAGCUAAUACCGGAUAAUAUUUUGAACCGCAUGGUUCAAUAGUGAAAGACGGUCUUGCUGUCACUUAUAGAUGGAUCCGCGCUGCAUUAGCUAGUUGGUAAGGUAACGGCUUACCAAGGCAACGAUGCGUAGCCGACCUGAGAGGGUGAUCGGCCACACUGGAACUGAGACACGGUCCAGACUCCUACGGGAGGCAGCAGUAGGGAAUCUUCCGCAAUGGGCGAAAGCCUGACGGAGCAACGCCGCGUGAGUGAUGAAGGUCUUCGGAUCGUAAAACUCUGUUAUUAGGGAAGAACAUAUGUGUAAGUAACUAUGCACGUCUUGACGGUACCUAAUCAGAAAGCCACGGCUAACUACGUG